UGCGGUAGUUCAGCCUGGUUAGAAUGCCGGCCUGUCACGCCGGAGGUCGCGGGUUCGAGUCCCGUCCGCAC
rnacentral:tRNA from 1 species